rnacentral:tRNA from 1 species
GGAAGCGCUCGGGGGCUGGUGCCUCUCGCGGUCUUCAAAACCGUAGUCUCGCACCCGACGCGGUGUGAGGGGUGGGUUCGAUUCCCAUGCGCUUCCGCCA